rnacentral:rRNA from 1 species
GCACGAGUGCACCCCCGUCCUGUGUUACAUUGUUCACAGGAGACUGCUCGGGCUUUUCCCGGGAGGAAGGAGGGGCGGACGUCAAGUCAGCAUGGCCCUUAUGUCUUGGGCUACACACACCCUACAAUGGCGAAAAACAACGGGUAUCGCGACACCGCAAGGUGCAGCUAAUCCCUGAAAUUUCGUCUCAGUUCGGAUUGGAGUCUGCAACUUGACUCCAUGAAGUCGGAAUUGGUAGUAAUCGCGGACCAGCCAGGCCGCGGUGAAUACUGCUUCUCGGGUCUUGUACACACCGCCCGU